rnacentral:tRNA from 1 species
GGAGAGAUGGCCGAGAGGUCGAAGGCGGCAGACUCGAAAUCUGUUGAACGGCUUGCCGUUCCUAGGGUUCGAAUCCCUAUCUCUCCG